rnacentral:sRNA from 1 species
UUGCCAGCCCUGGAGACUGAAAUCCUCUGCUGAACCACAGAACAGGUACAAUGUAGGCUGGUAAUGGCAGUGCAAGCUCACUCCAGUGCCCUGAUGUGGCUUAACGCUAACCUGGUGUGAGCAUCUCUGAGGGGUCCAUUUCCAUGGCUGUUCAGUGUUUGUCCUGU